rnacentral:rRNA from 1 species
UACGUAGGUGGCGAGCGUUGUCCGGAAUUACUGGGUGUAAAGGGAGCGUAGGCGGGAAUGCAAGUUGAAUUUGAAAUGUAUCGGCUCAACCGGUACCUGGGUUCAAAACUGCAUUUCUUGAGUGGGGUAGAGGCAGGCGGAAUUCCUAGUGUAGCGGUGAAAUGCGUAGAUAUUAGGAGGAACACCAGUGGCGAAGGCGGCCUGCUGGGCCCUAACUGACGCUGAGGCUCGAAAGCGUGGGGAGCAAACAGG